rnacentral:rRNA from 1 species
AGAGUUUGAUCCUGGCUCAGGAUGAACGCUAGCUACAGGCUUAACACAUGCAAGUCGAGGGGCAUCAGUUUGGUUUGCUUGCAAACCAAAGCUGGCGACCGGCGUACGGGUGAGUAACGCGUAUCCAACCUGCCCACCACUUGGGGAUAACCUUGCGAAAGUAAGACUAAUACCCAAUGAUAUCUCUAGAAGACAUCUGAAAGAGAUUAAAGAUUUAUCGGUGAUGGAUGGGGAUGCGUCUGAUUAGCUUGUUGGCGGGGUAACGGCCCACCAAGGCAACGAUCAGUAGGGGUUCUGAGAGGAAGGUCCCCCACAUUGGAACUGAGACACGGUCCAAACUCCUACGGGAGGCAGCA